GUGCCAGCCGCCGCGGUAAUACCGGCAGCUCAAGUGAUGUCCCAUAUUAUUGGGCCUAAAGCGUCCGUAGCUGGCCGCGCAAGUCCAUCGGAAAAUCCACCCGCCCAACGGGUGGGCGUCCGGUGGAAACUGUGUGGCUUGGAACCGGAAGGCUCAGAGAGUACGUCCGGGGUAGGAGUGAAAUCCCGUAAUCCCGGACGGACUACCGAUGGCGAAAGCACUCUGAGAAGACGGCAUCGACAGUGAGGGACGAAAGCUCGGGUCUCAAACCGGAUUAGAAACCCGAGUAGUCC
rnacentral:rRNA from 1 species